AUUGUAUUAUAACAUUCCAAGCCUCCCUUCGAUGGAGAGGACGAAGAGGAAUUAUUCGCUUCGAUUACAGAUCAGAACGUUUCUUAUCCAAAGUUUCUGUCAAAAGAAGCCAAAGAUAUUUGUAAAAGAUUUUUAACUAAAAACCCAUCAAAAAGGCUGGGAUGUGGACCUUCUGGAGAGGAGGAUGUCCGGAAUCACCCAUUCUUCAGAAGAGUAGACUGGCAGAAGAUUGAAAAUAAAGAAGUUCAACCUCCAUUUAAACCUAAGAUUAAAAAUCCCAAGGCCGCGGAGAAUUUUGAUCCCGUCUUUACAAACUCCAAAAUCACCUUGACCCCUGCCGACACUGUGGUCAUCAACAACCUGACAGGCAGCGAGUUUGAAGGCUUUACCUUUGUUAACCCUUACUUCCUAAAACAUCAGUAAUAUUACUACCUUUUUAUCUAAGUCUUGAAUCGUUCCAUAUGUGAUAUAUUUACAUACAUAUUAUAAAUACAUAUAUAUAUAUUUACAACUUUUUUUCCAAUUUUCCUAUGUCACUUUAUUCUUGGUAACGUUUGACUCUAAGAAAAUAUUAAUAUUGAUGUUGUUUCAACAUUCAACCAGAACUACAGUUUUUCAUUAAACUCAAUUACGUUUGCCUUGUAUGCCCUAAUCUAGUCCAAGGCUUAAUUAACGUUUCCCUCUAAGUAUGAGUAGCUGUUUAUUGUCCUGUGUUGACAUCUGUUGUUAGUUAGGGAUCGUCCAUAAAGUAUGUACGCAAAAUUUCAGGUUUUUAAACAACAACUUACCCCCCCAUGUACGAGUUGGUGAUAUUUUAUCAUAACUUCAAAGGAAUAACGGAGGAUUAACUUGAUGUUUACAUGAAAAAAAACAUCUUGCACUAUAUGUUUAUCAAACGAAUAACUUUAUUAACAGUAACAGUCAGGUAAAUUUAUUAACAUGCAAGUGCCAGUUUACAUAUUUCAAAAUUCACACAUCAUUAGCCCACACAGAAGACGGGGUAUCGGAGAUAUCCCUCUACACUGGCCUCAUUCAGCUUGCUGUGGACUCGUUGCUAACGGUCUGGCACUGGUUCCAUUUCUUCCUCCUCAUCUGACAAGUAGAGUCUGUUUGUGGACUGACUUGUGCCAGGUGAUUGCAGCUUGUGGCUUGUACUACAUGUGUUGCACACUCUUUUACCAACAGCAUCCUUCACUUGAACCUUAUAGAUCAUAUGUCACUUCUUCAUACUUCUUGGCAACUGAUUUUUCAAGAUGGCUACCUGGUGGCCAUAUUGUUCCUCUAAUUGCCAAAACGUUUUAGGGCAACAUAGUUGAGCAUACCCACAAACCAUAUAUAUAGCUGAGCCUCUAGUGUCCCGCAGGUUACUGUAGAAUUCGAAGAAGAUUGCUCAAAAAUGUAAACAUGAUGCUACAGUGCUAACGUCAUCCUGUAAAGAUGGCGGCAAGGCAGCCAUAUUGAAUUUUGAACGCGCCACUAAAAUUAAGGAUGCAAUGAAUGGACGAUGUUUUCUUGCCUUGGUAUAAAAUGCGAAGGAAAUAGGACGUGAAAUGUGGGUUGCAAAGACCCUGGCGGACAUGCUCACGAAGAGAGGGAAGAAGUUAUACUACAUGCUUCUUCCUUUACAGAGAUAGCAAAAGGUACUAGUGGACACACUGUUUACACCAUUUUGAUGUCCCUCAUAUUACACAUAAGAAUCAACGUAUUACUAAUAUAAAAAAAUUAUAACGACAUGAUAUAUUUACACUUCGUUAAUUAAAUAUCCCCUUCAUUGUUUCAACGAUAAGCCUAAGGGCUUAUAACGCUAAAAAUUAGGUCUCAAUACCCGCGAUGGGCGGAGCACAAAUAGCCCAGUGUGAAGCUAUGUGCUUAACAACAAACAAACAAAAACUAUACGUAUAGGCUUCACAUGUCAACAAACCCCUUUACCCUGUACGUAUAGGCUUCACAUGUCAACAAACCCCUUUACCCUGUACGUAUAGGCUUCAAUUUUACACAACUCUUCCCUUUUCCCACUCCUGCAUACAUAUUUUAUGAAUGAUCCCUUAUGUAUAUUUUAUAUAUAUAUAUAUAUAUAAGGUGAAAAGUAGGUAAUUUAUUGUUACAAGAAUUCAGUUUUAAUACUAAUAUUAGUGUAUAAUUGCCAUUAAUAUUAAACGAUACUUAUAUGUCUGGUUACUGUUAUAAAAGUCCUUCAAUCUGUUGAUCUGAUCUGAUCGUUUUGAACAUUUAUAACCAAGUUUUUGAUAUACGGCAAUGUUAAAACACUGGUAAUAAUAUUUUACAUAUUAGACAAGUGACUUUUAUCAAAUGGGAAACAAAUAAAACGACGUGUUUAAAAUGAAAUGAUUGACAAAAUAGCAUAGAUUUGGUCAAAUGACUGGGUAAAAAUGUUUAACCGAAACAUUUCAACAGAAUAUUAGUUAUAUAUUAUUUCACUAGAUGGACGUAGCGUCGUAAAGAAAAAAAUUUUAGGUGUGGAGGUGAUUUUCAUUUUGUUUUUUGUUUCUGUUUUAGUUUAGUCAGGAUAUCACUUUCUGGGGGAUAUAUUUUGAGGAUUUUAUUUUUAAUACAAGGUAAUACUUUGAAAUUAUAUUGAUGUACAUAUUGUAUUUUCCUUUUAGUGAAUUUUUGUAAGUGUAUUUUAAAGUGAGAGUCCAGUAAUGUUUACGAGAUAUAUUUGACAACUUAAACAUCAGUUGUUCACAAAAAUAUGUUGCUGCAAGCCUUAGAUAAUAGAUUCUGUGAUGGUACGAAUGAAGUGUGUUUUUUAGAUUAUCAGCUUUAGUCUUUUUUUAAAUCAUAUUUUGAUUCUUUCAAUGUACAUGCAUGCAAAAGAAUUACAGCCCUAAUAAACUCACUCGCAUGAUUAAAUAUCGUCGUUUUCCCCACCCCUUUUCAAGCUGCUCUGACACAUUUGAUCAUUUGAAGAAAAUCUGUCACACUUCAAGCUGAAUGACCAACAUCUUAUUAUUUCAUAUAAUAUACUGUUUUUUUUUCGUGAUUAUUUUCAGUACAGACAUGAUGCGUGUGUCGAGCAUGUGUGGUUCCUGUUAGUAAUUUAAGUAUCACAUAAAACACACACAGUCUUUGUUUUCCUGGAAGUAUCAUCACCAUUUGCAUUGGAUCUUGUGAGCAUUGGGUUAGAUAUAUCCUAAAACAGGAUAUUUCUGUUUUUUUUCGAAAAAGUAAUAUUUAACGUUGUUCUAUCUGCAAUUGUGUGUGAUAAAAACGUUUAGCAAAAAAUUUUUAAAGUAUCAAUAGUUUUCAAAACUUACUAGAUUAUAGCUUUUACAAAAACAAAGAAACACGUUUUUAAUGAAUAAAGCGGAGAGUGGGGGUCAGAUUUAUUGCUUUCUGUAUUCUUAAAUAUAAUGAAUAUUACUCUACCCUGUUUCUUACAUUAUUGUGGCAAUAUUAUCUUAUAGCUUCUUCACAAAUUAUCUGAAUAUCGGAUAUUUUUAUUUUGGGGUGGGAAGAUUAACGUAGAUUAAAGAUAACAGAUAACUAAAACAGACGAUUAAUGUUGUAGUUUUAAGGGCGUGUUUCUAUAGAAUCGAUGUUAGAUCCCAAUUAUUAAAAAUUAAACAAUAUAUUCAGCAACAACUUAUCAAGAAGUAGAGCAAUAAAAAUGUCUCAAACACAAAUUUACUAAAAUACAAAAUAAUCACUCUACUUUACCAUCUGCUAAUGACAUUUCCAGUUGAAAUAACUCUUCAGGUUCUUGAUAUAAUUUUUAGGGUAUACUUUGUUAUCUAGAACUAAGAUUAUAUUAAACAUAUUUCGUGCUUAGUUGAAAAAAAGUAAUCAUAAGUUUGUGGAUCUUACUUAAACAUUUUGUACUCUUUAACCAACAUGCUUCAUGUCUAGUAUUGAAGUUCUCAAAAUCUUUAAUUGUGAUGUUUUGCAACACUGUCACUACCUGGUGAUAGGUCUACGAUGUAGUCAAACUUGAUGCUUAUUAAAAAAAAAAAAGGUGAAACUGGAAAAGUUUUUGGGAAGUUUUGGAUAGAGAAAUUGCUGUCACGACAUUUUUUAACUUUUUACUAUAUGAUAUCAAUCAAGGUCUAAGAUCUAGUUUUUAUCUGAAAGUCUUGAACAGAUAUAAACUAUGGACAUUUUCCUUCUAUAAGAUAACGUCUUUAUUUAAUUCAAUAAAACGUAAUAUCUGUAAGCAAA